rnacentral:rRNA from 1 species
AGUGAACGCUGGCGGCGUGCUUAACACAUGCAAGUCGAACGGUAACAGGAAGAGCUUGCUCUUUGCUGACGAGUGGCGCACGGGUGAGUAAUGUAUAGGUAACGUGCCCUAGAGUCUGGGAUAGCCACUGGAAACGGUGAUUAAUACCGGAUACUCCUCUUCGGAGGGAAAGGUUUUUCGCUCUAGGAUCGGCCUAUAUUGUAUCAGCUAGUUGGUGAGGUAAGGGCUCACCAAGGCGAUGACACAUAGCGGGUUUGAGAGGAUGAUCCGCCACACUGGUACUGAGACACGGACCAGACUCCUACGGGAGGCAGCAGUGAGGAAUAUUGCACAAUGGGGGAAACCCUGAUGCAGCAACGCCGCGUGGAGGAUGACGCAUUUCGGUGUGUAAACUCCUUUUAUCAGGGAAGAAGAUGACGGUACCUGAUGAAUAAGCGCCGGCUAACUCCGUGCCAGCAGCCGCGGUAAUACGGAGGGCGCAAGCGUUACUCGGAAUCACUGGGCGUAAAGGACGCGUAGGCGGCCCACUAAGUCAGGUGUGAAAUCCUACAGCUUAACUGUAGAACUGCACUUGAAACUGGUGGGCUAGAGUAUGGAAGGGGCAGAUGGAAUUAGUGGUGUAGGGGUAAAAUCCGUAGAUAUCACUAGGAAUACCGAAAGCGAAGGCGAUCUGCUGGGACAUAACUGACGCUGAGGCGUGAAAGCGUGGGGAGCAAACAGGAUUAGAUACCCUGGUAGUCCACGCCCUAAACGAUGAAUGCUAGUCGUCGGGGCUCUUGUAGUUCCGGUGAUGCACCUAACGGAUUAAGCAUUCCGCCUGGGGAGUACGGUCGCAAGAUUAAAACUCAAAGGAAUAGACGG